UGCAGGAUUGCAGAGAUACUGCCCUGCCCUGUUGCUUUUUCUCUCCCUGAAAUCCUCAGUGACUUCAGCAGUUCAGGGCUGGCCCAGAAACUCCAGCAUCUCUGGGAUCCUUCAGGAUGGAAGGCUCUCCACGUGGGUGUCAUUCCCAUGGGAUUCACGAGCAGAAAACCAGCAGCUGGAAGAUUCCCCCUCAUCCCAUGGGCAAGGCCUGGAAUGGAGGGAUCACUUCUUCCUGUGGAGCAGAGGUGAAUAUUCCUUGCAAAACAAAUGUAGCUCUUAAAACAAAACCCCCCAAAUACUGUCUUUUGUUAACUAAAAAGCGCUGAAAAACACUUCUGUGCUCAGCAACAAUGAGCUAAAAAGAUUUGAAGAGGUUGGGAAACGAACAAUUUCAACGCUUUCUCAUCCUUUUAGAUGAAGCCAAUCGUAACAAAAAAAAAAAAAAAGAAAUGGUAAUGAAUGCAUUCCGAGGGGGCCUCGGGCCUGACUCGCUGCAAAGCAUCGAGAUCCUGCUGAGGCUCCUCUCCAGCUGAUUCCCUUCUCUCCAGCUGAUUCCCUCAGCUCCAGCUGAUUCCCUUCUCUCCAGCUGAU